CCCCACUGGACAGGAGGCAGAGUAUGCUCCCCAGAGGGGAGGAACAUGAUGAUGAUGAUGAUGGAGAUGCCCCCUUGAAGGGGGCUGGAAGGCUAUGUGGAAGAAGCGGUCCUUCAUCUCUUCUUCCCUGUGAUGGAGAGGAACUGGAUCAGGAGGAAUGGGCACUGCUGGAUCCAGACCAGAGAUCCCUGUACAGGGAAGUCAUGGCGGAGAAUAAUCAGAUCAUGGCCUAUUUUGGUAAGUCCCCUUCUCUCCAUGGUUUACACUAAGUGUAGUAACAGUACUGUGAACCACAACCAUUCUCAUGGGAAGUUGGGGGUGCCUUAGAGCAGAGCUGGAAGAUUCUUGUGGGCUCAAAGAAGGGCUGAAUUCUG
rnacentral:lncRNA from 1 species